UACCAGCACCCCGAGUGGUCGGGACGAUUAUUGGGCCUAAAGCAUCCGUAGGCGGUUUUACAAGUCCUCCGUUAAAUCCAGCUGCUUAACAGAUGGGCUGCGGAGGAUACUAUAAGACUAGGAGGCAGGAGAGGCAAGCGGUACUCAGUGGGUAGGGGUAAAAUCCGUUGAUCCAUUGAAGACCACCAGUGGCGAAGGCGGCUUGCCAGAAUGCGCUCGACGGUGAGGGAUGAAAGCUGGGGGAGCAAACCGG
rnacentral:rRNA from 1 species